GCCUUCACUGUAUUUUCGAUUGAUUUAAAUUAAUCCCGUCUGGAAUUUUAAGAGGCUCAUCUUGCUAUCCACCCUCCUCGCCUCGCGGGGCUGGGGAGCGUCAGGGGGCCCAAGGCCUUCCUGGCGAGCGUCGAAGGGCUCAGGGCUCCGACAGGGUGCCUCGGCUCCCCCGAAGCGUCCACGGAGGUGUCGGAGAUCCCGAGGGUCCGGGGGUUGGGGGGGCGUGAAGUGGCAGCAAGACAUGCAGUUACUGACCUCUUAUUAGCCAGACGACGCGUUAAUGACACGUUCCAAUGGAAGGUUCGACGCAUGGGGAGGUACAAUUCCCCUAAGCAAGGCAAGUGUCAUGCCAACUACGAUAAAAAACGAAAAAUCCAAAAAAAUACAAAAACAAAAAAUCCAAAAAAAAUUGUCUUGUUUUGCUUUGUUUAAAGUGUCUUGUAUGUUGGUAUGGCGGGUCUUCUCUGGGGAGAAGGAGACUAACGCGUUCCAACAUACAAAACCAGGAAAAGACGACAUGGAAACACCGAGAGAAGGAAGGGAAAGAAGGGAACACCAGAAGAAGGAAAAUGAAGAGAAGUAACACUAGAAGAAGGCAUAUGAAGUAACACAAGAAGAAGGAAGUUGAAAAGAGUAACACAAGAAGAGGGAAUUUGAAAAGAGUAACACAAGAAGAAGGGAUUUGAAAAGAGUUACACAAGAAGAAGGUAUUGAAAAGAGUAACACAGAAGAAGGUAUUGAAAAGAGUAACACAGAAGAAGGUAUUGAAAAGAGUAACACAGAAGAAGGUAUUGAAAAGAGUAACACAGAAGAAGGUAUUGAAAAGAGUAACACAGAAGAAGGUAUUGAAAAGAGUAACACAGAAGAAGGUAUUGAAAAGAGUAACACAGAAGAAGGUAUUGAAAAGAGUAACACAGAAGAAGGUAUUGAAAGAGUAACACAGAAGAAGGUAUUGAAAAGAGUAACACAGAAGAAGGUAUUGAAAAGAGUAACACAGAAGAAGGUAUUGAAAGAGUAACACAGAAGAAGGUAUUGAAAAGAGUAACACAGAAGAAGGUAUUGAAAAGAGUAACACAGAAGAAGGUAUUGAAAAGAGUAACACAGAAGAAGGUAUUGAAAAGAGUAACACAGAAGAAGGUAUUGAAAAGAGUAACACAGAAGAAGGUAUUGAAAAGAGUUACACAGAAGAAGGUAUUGAAAGAGUAACA